rnacentral:rRNA from 1 species
ACUCGAGUGGCGAACGGGUGAGUAACACGUGGGUGAUCUGCCCUGCACUUUGGGAUAAGCCUGGGAAACUGGGUCUAAUACCGAAUAUGACCACGCUCUUCAUGGGGUGUGGUGGAAAGCUUUUGCGGUGUGGGAUGGGCCCGCGGCCUAUCAGCUUGUUGGUGGGGUAAUGGCCUACCAAGGCGACGACGGGUAGCCGGCCUGAGAGGGUGACCGGCCACACUGGGACUGAGAUACGGCCCAGACUCCUACGGGAGGCAGCAGUGGGGAAUAUUGCACAAUGGGCGCAAGCCUGAUGCAGCGACGCCGCGUGAGGGAUGACGGCCUUCGGGUUGUAAACCUCUUUCACCAGGGACGAAGCGCAAGUGACGGUACCUGGAGAAGAAGCACCGGCCAACUACGUGCCAGCAGCCGCGGUAAUACGUAGGGUGCGAGCGUUGUCCGGAAUUACUGGGCGUAAAGAGCUCGUAGGUGGUUUGUCGCGUUGUUCGUGAAAACUCACAGCUUAACUGUGGGCGUGCGGGCGAUACGGGCAGACUAGAGUACUGCAGGGGAGACUGGAAUUCCUGGUGUAGCGGUGGAAUGCGCAGA